GCCUAUCGGGCGAGGGAAUUUCGCCUUUCGUUCAGAAACCAAAAAGGUGAUUGGACAUUUAAUUCCUUGGAAUUCAUGUUGGUGAUAAAUGCAGGCAGUUGAUAAGUUGAUAAACAAGAACUGUUAUUGUGGAAAAUAAUGGAACAGUAAAAGAAAAUGAGAGACCUGGAAAAAGGAGGAGGAGAAGGCGACGAGGAAGGUGGCGGCGGCCCAGAGGAAAGCUCCAUAGGCAAUAACAUGAGCUCGGUUAUGGCGGACUGAAAGAUAGGCUGCAAGAGGGUAGCAAAGAGACUGUACAAUCGAGCGGAAAAGGGUGAGCGAGCCCAGGCGGGUAGGGUCGGCGUGAAGGGCCUCUCCGACCUCCUUGUAAACUCCGGGAAGCAAUGACUCGUCGGCGCGUUCCAUAAUUCCGGCCAAAUUCACGAGCAGUAAGACCAAGGAAGAGCUGCAAUUUUCAAAACCCGGAGUGAAUACUGGAAUGUUGGACCUUGGACAGGUGGUGUUUCUUGUUCUUGACAGAUGUUUCAUACUUUGAAAAUCAUGUCAGAGGUCUUCCAUGGGAGCAAGAAAGCUUCUUUUUUAUUAUUAUUAUUAUUUUUAGUCAGUUAAUGGCGGUUGAAACAUUCCAUUGUUUCAAACACUGACUAUUAGAUCAAACAAACAUUAAUUUAGUACAAGUCAAACAUUAAUUUUAAUAAGCACAGCUGAGUCACUUUUUCUGGAAA